ensembl:lncRNA
UUUUUGCACCUCUUUAUUACAGAGUCCUAAAACCAUGGUGGGACAAGAUUCCUACUCCGAAAUUUUCCACAAAUUUUGUAAAACAGGUCCCACAGUUUCUGUCAUUUCAAAACGAGGUCUCGUCUGUCAGUCUUGAACCAACAGCAAACCACAAGACAACAUGUGUGGAAUCUUCUCAAAUCCAGUGUAAAGACAGUCAAUAUAGCGUCGGUCUCGGAAAAGACGUCGAUUCGGUGCCACUGAUCUGCUCCAUGACAGACUACCAGAGCGUGGACCAGAACAGCUCUGAAGAUGUUCGGUGUGGGCUUGAUAAGGAAAGCCAAUCUACAAACCUCAACCAAUUGAAUGAAGUCAGCUCGGGAAUCAGCAAUAGGACAUAUUCACCAUCAAACUCCAGCAGCUCGUACUUUUUUAAACAGCCAG